rnacentral:rRNA from 1 species
CGAACGGCAGCACGGGGGCAACCCUGGUGGCGAGUGGCGAACGGGUGAGUAAUACAUCGGAACGUGUCCUGUAGUGGGGGAUAGCCCGGCGAAAGCCGGAUUAAUACCGCAUACGCUCUACGGAGGAAAGGGGGGGAUCUUAGGACCUCCCGCUACAGGGGCGGCCGAUGGCAGAUUAGCUAGUUGGUGGGGUAAAGGCCUACCAAGGCGACGAUCUGUAGCUGGUCUGAGAGGACGACCAGCCACACUGGGACUGAGACACGGCCCAGACUCCUACGGGAGGCAGCAGUGGGGAAUUUUGGACAAUGGGGGCAACCCUGAUCCAGCAAUGCCGCGUGUGUGAAGAAGGCCUUCGGGUUGUAAAGCACUUUUGUCCGGAAAGAAAACGCCGUGGUUAAUACCCGUGGCGGAUGACGGUACCGGAAGAAUAAGCACCGGCUAACUACGUGCCAGCAGCCGCGGUAAUACGUAGGGUGCAAGCGUUAAUCGGAAUUACUGGGCGUAAAGCGUGCGCAGGCGGUCCGCUAAGACAGAUGUGAA